AUUAACAAGUAUAGUGGUAAGUAUUCCCGCCUGUCACGCGGGUGACCCGGGUUCGAUCCACGGCAACG
rnacentral:tRNA from 1 species